rnacentral:tRNA from 1 species
GGAGAGGUAGCGAAGUGGCUGUAACGCGCCCGCCUCGAAAGCGGGUUGUCGGCUUAUACCCGGCACGUGGGUUCGAAUCCCACCCUCUCCGCCA